AAUUGGUGCGUUAUCUACAAGCUGCACCCAGUCAUCCAGUGAGUGAGAGGAGAGAGAAGGCUUUCAACGAACUAAUAUCAUGAAGAGAUAUGUGAAAAACACCUUGAGGAUUGAUUCUAAACAACGUUUACCAUGUUUCAGUCGAUAUUAUGGAGUUAAUUUGGAAAAAAGUUUGGCGUUUUGAAGACUGAAUUUUCGUUUUUUUUUGGUAGCCAAAAGUGACGCACCAAACGGAGCAAUUUCUCCUAAACAAAUAAUCUUUCAGGAAAAACUGAGCAUUUGCUAUCUAAGUGAGAGUCUCCUCAUUGAAAACAUCUGAAGUUCUUCAAAGUCUCUCGGAAUAGGGUUUGGUCUGGGGAGAGCAGUAUAUCCUAUGCCGCUGACUCAUUGGAAGUAGAAAUCUUCAUCCAAAUCGAGAUGCAGAGAGAGCAUGCUGUCGAUCUAUAUCACCGCUUGGUACGGCAACUGCACUGCCUGCAACCGCAGGGCUCUCCAGAGGGUGGUGCGGUCUGCCCAACACAUUACUGGGUGCAAACUACCUGCCCUCCAAGACAUCUACAGCACCCGAUGUCACAGGAAGGCCAAAAAGAUCAUCAAGGACAACAGCAACCCAUACCACUGCCUGUUCACCCCGUUAUCACC
ensembl:lncRNA